CAAGCUUUCAUGCGUUUCUCCUCGUUUCAUCACCUUCCAACCCUCGUUGGCCUAUACUUUUGCGUGUCAACACAAGCUAUCUCUGUUUUUUCGUUCGUCAAGCAUGUUCUUGUCUCGCUCUUUUCACACUUUGCCGAAGUUGUGUAUUUACACACCGAGCUCAUGGAAUAUCUUUGUGUGUGUAGAAAACCAUUUUGACAGCACCGUAAUUCUUUGGCCAUCAAAUUUUGUUUUGCUUUGAAGUGCAAGGUUUGGUUAGUUUAUUGCAUAGAAUAGGGAGAUAAAAUGGUUAUAAAAGGAUAAAAAUGGUGUCGAAUCGAAAGAGUACGCGUUUUUCAAGUGAUUGGAUAGUUUAGUUAGGGAUGUGGAGUUGAAAAAAUGCUUGGAAAUAGGAAGAUGCUUUACCAGUGUGCCUCCGGAACAAAGUGGUGCUGAACCUGUUGCAUGGCUGCUGAGAGUCUGGUACAUCCGAAACAAUAUAUUGGCACGGACCGCAGGAAACCAAACAGCAAACACAGUGUACAAAGUACCAUGCAGAGAGGACACAAUUUUACACCACACAAACCAACACAUUUGCCCGCAUUUUCCAGCAAGUGAAGUGUAAGCGAGAGAUUUGUGAAUAAAAAAUAGAAUAAUUAAACAAAAAUA